AUUGAACGCUGGCGGCAUGCCUUACACAUGCAAGUCGAACGGCAGCAUGAUCUAGCUUGCUAGAUUGAUGGCGAGUGGCGGACGGGUGAGUAAUACAUCGGAACGUGCCCUGUAGGGGGGGAUAACUAGUCGAAAGAUUAGCUAAUACCGCAUACGACCUGAGGGUGAAAGUGGGGGACCGCAAGGCCUCAUGCUAUAGGAGCGGCCGAUGUCUGAUUAGCUAGUUGGUGAGGUAAAGGCUCACCAAGGCGACGAUCAGUAGCUGGUCUGAGAGGACGAUCAGCCACACUGGGACUGAGACACGGCCCAGACUCCUACGGGAGGCAGCAGUGGGGAAUUUUGGACAAUGGGCGAAAGCCUGAUCCAGCAAUGCCGCGUGUGUGAAGAAGGCCUUCGGGUUGUAAAGCACUUUUGUCCGGAAAGAAAUGGCUCUGGUUAAUACCUGGGGUAGAUGACGGUACCGGAAGAAUAAGGACCGGCUAACUACGUG
rnacentral:rRNA from 1 species